AAAAAGACCAGGGAAGAAGAGGUCCAUCACAGUAAGGGUGCAACGCCUACCUGAGACCCGAUCUGCUCCCUUCUGCCUUUGAUGUUCCUCACUCUGCGCCAGGGGUCACAGUGCUGGCAGACAUGCCAGGGGGUAUGAAUGAUUUAAAGCAACAGGUGAAAGUCUUUAAAUGAGUGUAUUUACCAGCACCUUUCAAGGACUCUGUAUCAGCUAUGCUUGAUCGUAUUCCAUGAGCGUUCUCAGAUGCACUUUCCUUUGUGUUGCUGUUUAGUGGCACGGUCACAUUUCAUACACAAACCAACAGAAAGUAGCACACCUCAGAUUUUGACAACUGUAUUCAACCUCCCUUACCCAUCAUGAGUGGUCCUUCUGACAUCUUCACUUCAACUAUGCAGAUUUGAAGAACCUUAAAAUGGUAGGAGAUGGACAUUGAGGAGAUCUGAUAACGGCUUGGGUGCCACUCUGGAAAUCAUCUGAUGUCAGUGGAUGAGCAUAGUUGAUGUCUAAGAAGAGGUGCACAAGAUACAGAAGUCCUUACGUCAAACUCUCCUGCUUUCACAGUGUGAAAGUGUCAAAAUCAGUUUGAAAUUCAAUUCAUCCAUGGAUAAUAUAAAAAUUUCAUAAAAAUAUAAGGUAAAAGUAUACUACAUAAGCCCACAGCAUCAAAACAUCCACAAAUAUAAAUGCACAACAUAUCUACCUUCUUGUCUGGUUUCUGCACAUUUUCUACAUAUUUGUGUAAUGGAGACUUUCUUUAAAAAAUGGCCACUGAUUCAAAUCACAUAAUCCACGAUUUUACUUUGAAGACCAAUCAACAUGUAGGCAGCUACACUGUUAUCUUCUCUAUGAGCUCCCUUCCAGAUUUUCAUAUGCUGGAAAGAUUAUAGCACCAUAUAAUGAGCUACAUGUACAUCCAUGCUAUCUGACAUCACUAGCCUGUAUAUACACACCCCUAAAAAAAUAAAUUGUGUAUUCAGAUAUCUCAGCCUGUCUUCCUGGCAAUAACUCAACCAAUCUUUUCACUAGAAGCUCUCACCAUCUUACC